UUGUAGUCUAUUUGGUUAGGAUACUCGUCUCUCACCCGAGAGACCCGAGUUCAAUUCUUGGCAA
rnacentral:tRNA from 1 species